GCAGUGCCCUGCUCAGAAAGGUGCCCAUUAUGUAUACUGUGUAAGGGGCGCCCUUCUGGGUAGAGCAAGGCU
rfam:Tupaia chinensis contig235664, whole genome shotgun sequence.